rnacentral:misc_RNA from 1 species
UUCACAAUGUAAGUCAUUCUAGCAUUUUCCACAUUAUCUAGAUUCAUUAACAUCAAUAUGAAUGUAGAAAAUGCUAGGAUGACUUACAUUGUGAA